GGUCACGAGUAUCAGCAUGUUCGAGCCCCGGCUCGCUGAUCGGCAACCCUCGCUCGGCGGUGGGGUGCCCCGGGUGACGACCAGGCGCUCUCGCCACGAGAGCGCAAGCGCCGAAC
rnacentral:ncRNA from 2 species